UGAUUUCAUUCCUGAAGAAGAAAGUCCAGUUUGUCGAUCUGGUGCUCAAGCAUCUUGAGACGUCCGCCAUGAUGGACCUUCUGUUGCGGUUGGUCAGCUGCGUGGAGCCAGCCCAGCUACGCCAGGAAGUGCUACAUUGGCUGAAUGAUGCAAAGCUUGUUCAGAGGCUGGUGGAGCUGAUCCACCCUCGCCAGGAUGAAGAUAGACAAUCCAAUGCUUCUCAAACCUUGUGUGAUAUCAUCAGGCUGAGCAGAGAUCAGAGCAACCAGCUCCAGGAGGUGGCUGACCUUGACCCUCUCCUUGCAUCCCUGGAGUCGCAGGAGUGUGUGGAGCAGCUUUUGAAGAACAUGUUUGAUGAGGAAUUGAUGGAGAACUGCCUUGUGAAUGGGACACAGGUUUUGCUGACAUUGCUUGAGCCAAGAAGAGCUGGCUUGGAAGGGCUUUUGGACUCCUUCUCUCAGGGAUUUGAAAAGUUUCACACUGUCAGUAGCAGCGUCUUGCGGGGCAUAGAGCCACGCCUGAAGGACUUCCACCAACUGCUGCUUCACCCCCCCAAGGUAGCUUCUAUCCUGACGACCAUUGGGAUCCUGGAAGAGCCUCUAGGGAACGCCCGUCUUCAUGGAGCCCGCCUGAUUGCUGCCCUUCUUCACACCAACACACCCAGUAUUAAUCAGGAGCUGUGCCGGCUUAACACCAUGGACUUGCUACUGGACCUGUUUUUUAAAUACACUUGGAAUAACUUCUUGCAUUUCCAAGUAGAACUGUGUAUCACAGCUGUCCUGAUGCACUCUGUGCCUGGAAGCAAGCAGGUCAUAGAAAAUGAGGAGGAGAUGAAGGGAAACGUGUCCUCAGAAAAUGCUGAAGCACCAGAGAACUUCAUGGUGACUCAUCUCUUCCAAAAGUGCUGCUUGGUGCAAAGGAUUCUAGAUGCCUGGGACACCAAUGACAAAAUACAGGCAGAAGGAGGAAUGAGGCGUGGCAACAUGGGCCACCUUACCCGAAUUGCCAACACAGUUGUGCAAAAUAUGGAGAAAGGCCCCUUGCAGAACCAAAUCAGGGAGUUCAUCAGAGGGCUUCCUGAAGAUUGCAAGGGACGUUGGGAGAGCUUUGUGGAGGAAACUUUGGUGGAAGCCAACCGAAGAAAUACUGUGGAUUUGGUAACUGCCCAUCACCUGCACUCCUCCAGUGAGGAUGAGGACACAGAGGCUACCUUUCCCAGUGAAGUCUCUCUCCAGCAGGCAUUUUCAGAAUAUCAGGUUCAGCAGAUGACAGCCAUUUUCAUGGAUCAGUUUGGCUUUAAUGAUGAAGAGUUUGCUGAUCAGGAUGACAACAUCAAUGCCCCUUUUGACAGGAUUGCAGAGAUUAACUUCAGCAUUGAUGUAGAUGAUGACAGUCCCAAUGCGUCCCUCUUCGAAGCCUGCUGCAGCGAACGCAUUCAACAAUUUGAUGAUAAUGAAGAAGAGGAGGAUAUUUGGGAGGAGAAUGAUACAAACUAUGCAGUCCAAGCCAAAUCAAGGUCACGGUUUGGAGUACUUCACUCUGUGGAAGUUUCAGCCAAAGGUGGCUUAGAAAAUGGGGAGCAUGAUGGCUGCAUGGACUCUGGGGAAGAGGAGGCAGAGAAGGAGGCAGCUGUCCAUUCUGAGGACCCCUGGAAGGAAGUAAACCAGGCCAUGGAUCCCCCUCCUGAAGGGUCUGGAUGGAGGACAGCACUUGAGCCCGUGAAGUCCAAGCCUCCAGCCUCUUGGGUGGCCACAGACAUAGGGUCCAGUGUGUGGGAUUCGGUAACUCCCGGCAUGAAAGCUUCUGAAGAGAGAGGCUGGGCCAAGUUCACUGACUUCCAGCCUUUCUGUUGCUCUGAAACAGCUCCCAGGUGCAGUUCCCCCGUGGACAACGAGAACAGCGGUUCCGAAGGAAAUCCCAAGCAGAGCCAAGACGAGAACUUGAGUGCUGCCUCCCCUUGCGUCUGGAACGUCUGUGUGGCACGGAAGGCACCCUUGGUGGCCUCAGACAGCAGCUCCUCUGGUGGCUCAGACAGCGAGGAAGAGGAAGAGAUGGCCAAUGUGGUCACAGAAACCAUCAGCACAGGUUCAGGCCAGGAAACCGUCAAGCUGACUGUGGAUGCUAAGAACGAAAAGGCCCUCUUUAUCAGAAUAAUUAGGCCUGCAGUUGGAGGCAGUAACGACUCUGUGACUGUUGACAAGCUGGUGAAUACUCUGAAGAGCGAACCUGCCCAGGCAUUUGAUGUUUGUCCAGGCUCUGCUGCUGCAGCCAUCACACCGGAAGCCAAGAGGGACAGCACUGAUGAGAUGACACCUGGAGUCCUGUGCAUGAUUCUGGGCACCCCAUUCCCAGAAGGAUAGUGACCAGAUAGAAAGAGUUCAAAGGAAGGCAAUGAAGAUGAUCCAGGGACUUGAGGACAUGACAUACAAGGAGAGGCUGAAGGAACUUGGGAAGUUCGGUCUGGAGGAAAGAAGACGGAGGGGAGACGUGAUAGCCAUAUCCAGGAAAGAGGAGCCCCACCCAGGAGCAGAGGCCACCCUGAAAGGCCCCGCUUGACAGUGGGGAUGACCUGGAAAGUGCCUGACUGAGGCUGGGCUGCCCACUUGUCCUCUUUGACAGUUUCAUUUCAUCAUAAUAAAUGCUGCCUUCGGAGAGAACAGUCAGUCAGAAAGCACGGUCCCUCUUCAGCUUGGCUUGGAAAGGUCCGUACGUGUCACGAGCGCAGCAUUAGCUCAUCUUCAUCCUCCAGCCUUGACUCACAACCUGUGCUCUUUCUUGGUUUUGCUCUUGUGGGCAGGAGCGAGGUACAGGCCUCUGAUCUCCCACUGUUGCAUCCAGGAUUCUCUGCUCUCCAGGAAGGCACUGGACUGGCCCACUGACACUGGAACUUGAGUUGCAUACAAAGCUGGCACUGAAACAUCCCUGCCAGCUUUUUAUAGAGCAAUAAUGCCUUAUCAGGAACAUGGCUGCUGAAAUGAGAAAGUGGGGGAGCAACAGGCAGCUGGUGGCCUGAAGGACAGUUUCUUGCCACUCUUGAGAUGUUUCAGGAAGGAAGGUACUUCAGGUGAGGGACUUAAGUCAGCCAACAUCAUCCCUGCGAACAAAGGUGUCCCUGACAGACAGUGUGGUGGUGACCCACUGCCUUGGAAGGAACUCAGUCCUGGAGCAUUUCUGGGAGGGGAUGGCUUCUGGAGACUUGCCUUUCAUGUAGAGUUUGAUUCUUCCUUUGGUUUGUUUAAUUUUGUAAAAAUUUUAAUAGAAGCAGGAACUGUAACACUUUGCACUUUGGAUCUCAUGCCAACCUUGAAAGUUGGAAGAGACAUUUGAGGAAGUCAUGCUGAUAUGGCCUGGCAAAACUAGAGGAGAGGGAGCCAUUCCCUAGAGAAGAUGUUGACCCCAGGGCAGCUGGAAAUUACUGUGCCAGGCAGGGGCCAGUCUUCUCCUUGAGCGCAAGGAGAGAGGCUCUCUAAUGGUAGAGAGGCAGAGCUUCUGGAGAAUUUAGCCCAUGACUUUGGCCAAGAGCUGUUGGAUGAAAUUAGCUCAUUGGUACCUCUUCUGGUGUUGCAUGGCUCCUUGUGGCCACAUGAUCCUUGCCAAACCUCAGUGGAACUUGUUACUCCUCAGUGAUGGAGCUGAGAUGCAAAAUCGUUUACUCUGGAAUCUAAACUUGAAGCUUUUCUGGGAUGGGUGAAGAAAGCUAGCUUAAAGUUGUAGUUUGUUCCCAACAUAACAAUGCUUCUGUUUGUUUUUAGAAAAACUUGGAAUGUCUGUUGUCCCAUAUUUUUUGCAAAUUAAAUGGUUGGUUGGAGACCUUUAAGGAACAAGGCCAGCCCACUUUUCCCCC